AAAAGGCAACUAUUGAGUCCCACAACUUGCAUCCAAUGUGCAAAUCUGGUCCCAGCCAAUCGUAGCACGACAAGUGGCGCCUAGUCAGCACAGACGGUCAGCGCCGCACUUUUUGCAAUUACCCCCCUCGCCUUAGCACAAAAUAACCCGCACUGCACCUUACAAAGCACCCUGUCGACUGCCGACCGUCCGUCAGACAGCGCAGGGGCCAGGGCCCGUCUUCUGCCGCCCCUCCUCGUCUAGAGCUAGGCUGUGGACGAAGGUCGGCAGGCAGCAGCGGCCGGCGUACCAGGCCCGCUCUUUCCGGCUCCUGGUCUCCCUCACCGGUGUCGGCUCCGUGCUGCAGCCGGAGCUGGGCUCCGACACAGACUUCCCAGCUGCUGCAGCGACGGACUGCUGUCCGCUCUUGCUGCUGUCUGGCUCUCCGGCAGCGGCAGCGGUGGCACUCUCUCCGGUGUCGUUCCGCGUCGCCUCUUGCAGUAGGUCGGCUAGUUUUCUCCGUCCGGUCGGAGAAGCCUCUAAAGAAUUGGGCUGUGCGCGGCAUUGUCAGGGGCUGGAGACAUGAAGCUAUCACAUGAUCUGGUAGUUGAAGAUCUAGUUAUCAGCGGCGGCCGCUACAAAUUCUAUCCUCUGCUGCAGAUCAUCGCCAAGUCCUACAGCCUGGGUCAUCUCCAUCACCAACGCCUACAGCUUGGGUCUGAACCGCUCUUCUCUACUUCAUGUUUACUGAAUUUACUGAAUGUGCGUAGUCUCUGAACCACUUCUUCCCUGAUUACUGAAUUUUAGUGAAUGUGAGAUGUACUCUUGUAAACUGAGAUGUACCCUAGUAAAGUGUGCUGUCAACAUCACUUCUAGUUUAACUGAAGCAAGCAUACAUCUCUGUCCAGUGUUAGCUAAGGGCUAA